rnacentral:rRNA from 1 species
AUUUUAUCGCCGAAAGAUCGGCCCGCGUCUGAUUAGCUAGUUGGUGAGGUAAUGGCUCACCAAGGCGACGAUCAGUAGCUGGUCUGAGAGGAUGAUCAGCCACAUUGGGACUGAGACACGGCCCAAACUCCUACGGGAGGCAGCAGUGGGGAAUGUUGGACAAUGGGCGCAAGCCUGAUCCAGCCAUGCCGCGUGAGUGAUGAAGGCCCUAGGGUUGUAAAGCUCUUUUGUGCGGGAAGAUAAUGACGGUACCGCAAGAAUAAGCCCCGGCUAACUUCGUG